CCCUUCCUCCUCCUCCUCCUCCUCCUCCUCCUCCCAUGGAAUUCCCGCCUGGAAUUCUGCUGGGGGAUCCCCAGCCCUUCUUCCUCCUCCUCCCGUGGAAUUCCAGCCUGGAAUUCCGCUGGGGGGCCCCAGCCCUUCCUCCUCCUCCUCCUCUGGAAUUCCCGCCUGGAAUUCCGCUGUGGGAUCCCCAGCCCUUCCUCCUCUUUCCGUGGAAUUCCAGCCUGGAAUUCCGCUGUGGGACCCCCAGCCCUUCCUCCUCCUCCUCCAGGCAGCAAAGCUGCCCCGAAUCCCGACUCACCCAUCCUCUUCCUCCUCAUCCCGAACUUUCUCCCUUCUCUUCCUCCUGACCCCAAAACCCCUCCCUGUCCCAUUGCCGUUUCCCGUUCCCGUUUCCCUGCCCCAUUCCCAUUCCCAUUCUCCCAUCUUGUUCUCAUUUCCUGUUCCUGUUUCCCCGCCCCAUUCCCAUUCCCUGUUCCUGUUUCGGUUCCCAUUUCCCAUUCCCCAUUCCCCAUUUCCCGUUCCCAUUUCCCAUUCCCAUUAUCCCAUUCCCCCAUUCCUAUUCCCCAUUCCCAUUCCCCAUUCCCGUUAUCCCAUUCCCCAUUCCCCAUUCCUGUUAUCCCAUUUCCCAUUAUCACAUUCCCCCAUUCCCCAUUUCCUGUUAUCCCAUUCCCAUUAUCCCAUUUCCCCAUUCCCAUUCCCCAUUCCCAUUCCCCAUUCCUGUACUCUCAUUUCCCAUUCCCCAUUUCCCAUUCCCAUUAUCCCAAUCCCCCAUUCCCAUUCCCCAUUCCCAUUAUCCCAAUCCCUCAUUCCCAUUUCCCAUUCCCAUUAUCCCAUUCCCCCAUUCCCAUUCCCCAUUCCCAUUCCCCAUUCCCCAUUCCCAUUCCCCAUUCCCAUUAUCCCAUUCCCCAUUCCCAUUCCCCCAUUCCCAUUAUCCCGUUAUCCCAUUCCCCCAUUCCCAACAUUCCGGCCGCGCGGCUCCCACCGUGCCGCCGGAUCUGCUCCCGCAGCGGCGCCGGCAGCAGGGCCGGGGGCAGCUCCAGGAAGGCGGCGGCCGCCUGCAGCGCCUGAGCCCGGGCCAGGAACCCGCCCCGCGUGGGGCGGCGGGCCUGCGGCUCCCGCAGCGCCUGCAGCAGCAGCGCCACGCCCUGCUCCGCCUGGAAAAANNNNNNNNNNAAUUUCCCAGGAUUCGGGAAGCAAAUUCCCAGAUUUGGGAAGCACAUUCCUGGAUAAUUUCCCAGG
rnacentral:lncRNA from 1 species